rnacentral:rRNA from 1 species
GACGAACGCUGGCGGCGUGCUUAACACAUGCAAGUCGAGCGGUAAGGCCCUUUCGGGGGUACACGAGCGGCGAACGGGUGAGUAACACGUGGGUGACCUGCCCUUAGCUCUGGGAUAAGCCUGGGAAACUGGGUCUAAUACCGGAUAUGACUCCAUGACGCAUGUUGUGGGGUGGAAAGCCUUGUGCGGCUAGGGAUGGGCCCGCGGCCUAUCAGCUUGUUGGUGGGGUGAUGGCCACCAAGGCGACGACGGGUAGCCGGCCUGAGAGGGCGACCGGCCACACUGGGACUGAGACACGGCCCAGACUCCUACGGGAGGCAGCAGUGGGGAAUCUUGCGCAAUGGGCGAAAGCCUGACGCAGCGACGCCGCGUGAGGGGUGACGGCCU